rnacentral:rRNA from 1 species
ACCUGGUUGAUCCUGCCAGUAGUCAUAUGCUUGUCUCAAAGCUUAAGCCAUGCAAGUGUAAGUUCACGCCACGCUUUAGAACGGGCGAAACCGCGAAUGGCUCAGGAACCGGACCUAAUCCUCGGGACCGUAAUCCUCCUCGGAGGCGAUGGAUAACUGUGGCAAUUCUAGAGCUAAUACAUGUGACACAGGCCGCGAUCGGUCGUCGCGCCGUGGUCGCCUCGCCUCGCGCGCUGGCACCCGCGACGACCGUCUUGGGUCGCGGCGCUACAUAUUAGACUGAGACCGAUGCGCGAUUCCCGGCCUCCCUUCAGUUCCCGGGCCUCACGGUUCGCGGUCUUGUCGGGGCUAAAGGUCGGCGCGCUCCGCUUUGGUGACUCUGGAUAACUCACUGGUCGAUCGCACGGGCUUCCACGCCCGGCGACGGGUCCCUCGAGGGUCCGCCCUAUCAACUGUCGACGGUCGGUUAAGUGCCUACCGUGGUUACUACGGGUAACGGGGAAUCGGGGUUCGAUUCCGGAGAGGGAGCAUGCGAAACGGCUACCACAUCCAAGGAAGGCAGCAGGCGCGCAAAUUACCCACUCCCGGCACGGGGAGGUAGUGACGAAAAAUAACGACGCGGGACUCUGUCGAGGCCCCGCGAUCGGAAUGAGUACACUUCAAAUCCGUUAACGAGGACCAACCGGAGGGCAAGUCUGGUGCCAGCAGCCGCGGUAAUUCCAGCUCCGGUAGCGUAUAUUAAAGUUGUUGCGGUUAAAAAGCUCGUAGUCCGAACUCGGGUUCGUGGUCGCUCACGCGGCCCCGGGGCGGCGGCGCCAUCGUCCAUCGUUGACUUUGGUCGUCCGUUCGCAUUCCCGGCCCUUUCCGCCGGUGUCAAUCGCUAUAUAGACGGCCGCGUGGUCAACUGGUGGUGGGCGUGACUCUUGGGUUUGGGGGCGUUGGCUUUCAGUUGGCUCGCUUUUAGUGGGUCGGGCAGUUGGUCGGUGUUGUUCGUUCUCGGGUAUCCGGGCUUUCGGGCUCCUCAUUGCUAAGUUCCGCGUGUUUGCCGUCGGUGAUUUCUCCUCCAAGGGUGCUCUUAACCGAGUGUCCGCGGCGGCCGGUACGUUCACUUUGAAAAAAUUAGAGUGCUCAGAGCGGGCUGUUCAAGCUUGCAUACGAUAAGCAUGGAAUGAUGGAAGAGGGCCUCGUCUACGUCUGUCGGUCUCCGUCUACGGCGAGGCAAUGAUCGAAGGGAGCGGUCGGGGCCACUCGUAUUGCGACGUUAGAGGUGAAAUUCUUGGAUCGUCGCAAGACGAACUGCAGCGAUGGCGUGUGGCAAGCACGUUUUCCUCGAUCAAGAGCGAAAGUCGGAGGUUCGAAGACGAUCAGAUACCGUCGUAGUUCCGACCGUAAACGAUGCCGACCGGCGAUCCGCCGGCGUUCGCUUCCAUGACCCGGCGGGUAGCCUGCGGGAAACCAGAGUUCGGUUCCGGGGGGAGUAUGGUUGCAAAGCUGAAACUUAAAGGAAUUGACGGAAGGGCACCACCAGGAGUGGAGCCUGCGGCUUAAUUUGACUCAACACGGGAAAACUCACCCGGUCCGGACACCGGUAGGAUUGACAGAUCGAUAGCUCUUUCUCGAUUCGGUGGGUGGUGGUGCAUGGCCGUUCUUAGUUGGUGGAGCGAUCCGUCUGGUUGAUUCCGAUAACGAACGAGACUCCGGCCUGCUAACUAGUGCGCCGAUGUCAGUGCGGCGUCGUUCUGCGGCGUCGUGUGCGGGCUCGUCGGCGAUUUUUGAUCGUCUCUCGUGUCCGGGUCGGUUUCUCACGCACUUCUUAGAGGGACGGGUGGCAGAAAGCCACACGAGGCGGAGCGAUAACAGGUCUGUGAUGCCCUUAGAUGUCCGGGGCCGCACGCGCGCUACACUGGAGGUAUCAGCGGGGACUUCGCCCCGGCCCGAGAGGGUCGGGAAACCUCUCAACCACCUCCCGUGAUAGGGAUCGGGGCCUGUAACCAACCCCGUGAACGAGGAAUUCCCGGUAGGCGCGGGUCAACAGCCCGCGUCGAUCACGUCCCUGCCCUUUGUACACACCGCCCGUCGCUACUACCGAUCGAACGGUCCGGUGAGGUCCUCGGAUCUGGCUGACGACGCCGCCGGGUGUGGCCCUCACGGGUCUCGCCUCGGCGUUCGAUGCCUGGAGAAGACGACCGAACCCGAUCGUUUAGAGGAAGUAAAAGUCGUAACAAGGUUUCCGUAGGUGAACCUGCGGAAGGAUCAUUA